CCUACGGGUGGCAGCAGUGAGGAAUAUUGGUCAAUGGACGCAAGUCUGAACCAGCCAAGUAGCGUGCAGGAUGACGGCCCUCCGGGUUGUAAACUGCUUUUAGUUGGGAAUAAAAGGGGGCUCGUGAGCCCCGUAUUGUAUGUACCAUCAGAAAAAGGACCGGCUAAUUCCGUGCCAGCAGCCGCGGUAAUACGGAAGGUCCGGGCGUUAUCCGGAUUUAUUGGGUUUAAAGGGAGCGUAGGUGGAUUGUUAAGUCAGUUGUGAAAGUUUGCGGCUCAACCGUAAAAUUGCAGUUGAAACUGGCAGUCUUGAGUACAGUAGAGGUGGGCGGAAUUCGUGGUGUAGCGGUGAAAUGCUUAGAUAUCACGAAGAACUCCGAUUGCGAAGGCAGUUCACUGGACUGCAACUGACACUGAGGCUCGAAAGUGUGGGUAUCAAACAGGAUUAGAUACCCUAGUAGUC
rnacentral:rRNA from 1 species